rnacentral:rRNA from 2 species
UCAGUCGAAGAUACCAGCUGGCUGCAACUGUUUAUUAAAAACACAGCACUGUGCAAACACGAAAGUGGACGUAUACGGUGUGACGCCUGCCCGGUGCCGGAAGGUUAAUUGAUGGGGUCAGCGCAAGCGAAGCUCCUGAUCGAAGCCCCGGUAAACGGCGGCCGUAACUAUAACGGUCCUAAGGUAGCGAAAUUCCUUGUCGGGUAAGUUCCGACCUGCACGAAUGGCGUAAUGAUGGCCAGGCUGUCUCCACCCGAGACUCAGUGAAAUUGAACUCGCUGUGAAGAUGCAGUGUACCCGCGGCAAGACGGAAAGACCCCGUGAACCUUUACUAUAGCUUGACACUGAACAUUGAGCCUUGAUGUGUAGGAUAGGUGGGAGGCUUUGAAGCGUGGACGCCAGUCUGCGUGGAGCCGACCUUGAAAUACCACCCUUUAAUGUUUGAUGUUCUAACGUGGACCCGUAAUCCGGGUUGCGGACAGUGUCUGGUGGGUAGUUUGACUGGGGCGGUCUCCUCCUAAAGAGUAACGGAGGAGCACGAAGGUUGGCUAAUCCUGGUCGGACAUCAGGAGGUUAGUGCAAUGGCAUAAGCCAGCUUGACUGCGAGCGUGACGGCGCGAGCAGGUGCGAAAGCAGGUCAUAGUGAUCCGGUGGUUCUGAAUGGAAGGGCCAUCGCUCAACGGAUAAAAGGUACUCCGGGGAUAACAGGCUGAUACCGCCCAAGAGUUCAUAUCGACGGCGGUGUUUGGCACCUCGAUGUCGGCUCAUCACAUCCUGGGGCUGAAGUAGGUCCCAAGGGUAUGGCUGUUCGCCAUUUAAAGUGGUACGCGAGCUGGGUUUAGAACGUCGUGAGACAGUUCGGUCCCUAUCUGCCGUGGGCGCUGGAGAACUGAGGGGGGCUGCUCCUAGUACGAGAGGACCGGAGUGGACGCAUCACUGGUGUUCGGGUUGUCAUGCCAAUGGCACUGCCCGGUAGCUAAAUGCGGAAGAGAUAAGUGCUGAAAGCAUCUAAGCACGAAACUUGCCCCGAGAUGAGUUCUCCCUGAGACUUUAGGUCUCCUGAAGGAACGUUGAAGACGACGACGUUGAUAGGCCGGGUGUGUAAGCGCAGCGAUGCGUUGAGCUAACCGGUACUAAUGAACCGUGAGGCUUAACCUU